UAAGACGGAGGGUGCUAGCGUUGUUCGGAAUUACUGGGCGUAAAGGGCGCGUAGGCGGCUACGGCAGUCGGGUGUGAAAGCCCGGGGCUCAACCCCGGAACGGCAUCCGAUACUCUGUGGCUAGAGACCGGAAGAGGUGGGUGGAAUACCCAGUGUAGAGGUGAAAUUCGUAGAUAUUGGGUGGAACACCGGUGGCGAAAGCGGCUCACUGGUCCGGUUCUGACGCUGAGGCGCGAAAGCGUGGGGAGCAAACAGGAUUAGAUACCCUGGUAGUCCACGCCCUAAACGAUGCGAGCUGGAUGUCGGGGGGCUUGCCCCUCGGUGUCGGAGCUAACGUGUUAAGCUCGCCGCCUGGGGAGUACGGCCGCAAGGUUA
rnacentral:rRNA from 1 species